rnacentral:rRNA from 1 species
AAUCAACGCUGGCGGCGUGCCUCAGACAUGCAAGUCGAACGAUUAAAGCUCUCUUCGGAGAGUGUAUAGAGUGGCGCACGGGUGAGUAACACGUAAGUAAUCUACCUUUGAGUGGGGAAUAACAGUCGGAAACGACUGCUAAUACCGCAUAAUGCAGCGGCAUCGCAAGAUGACAGUUGUUAAAGGAGCAAUCCGCUUAAAGAGGAGCUUGCGGCAGAUUAGCUAGUUGGUAAGGUAAUGGCUUACCAAGGCUACGAUCUGUAUCCGGUCUAAGAGGACGGUCGGACACACUGACACUGAAUAACGGGUCAGACUCCUACGGGAGGCAGCAGUCGGGAAUUUUGGGCAAUGGGCGAAAGCCUGACCCAGCAACGCCGCGUGAAGGAUGAAGUAUUUCGGUAUGUAAACUUCGAAAGAAUGGGAAGAAUAAAUGACGGUACCAUUUAUAAGGUCCGGCUAACUACGUG